rnacentral:lncRNA from 1 species
UCCACCCUCUCAGAACCUCCUUUAGACUUUUAAUUUUUAUUUUUUAGAACCCUCACAAUCCUUGUUAGGACCAGAUAAGGCUUUGUCUUAAAUCCCAAAGCUUUGUCCUAAAACUAAGAUAGGUUGUAAGAAAGAAAUGAGAGCAAUGGAGAUAAAAUCAAAAACUCGAACUGAAUACCUCGGACACCCAGCACCCAGACUUUUUAAUAGCCACC